GUGGGGAAUCUUGCGCAAUGGGCGAAAGCCUGACGCAGCCAUGCCGCGUGAAUGAUGAAGGUCUUAGGAUUGUAAAAUUCUUUCACCGGGGACGAUAAUGACGGUACCCGGAGAAGAAGCUCCGGCUAACUUCGUGCCAGCAGCCGCGGUAAUACGAAGGGGGCUAGCGUUGCUCGGAAUUACUGGGCGUAAAGGGCGCGUAGGCGGACAUUUAAGUCAGGGGUGAAAUCCCGGGGCUCAACCUCGGAACUGCCUUUGAUACUGGGUGUCUUGAGUAUGAGAGAGGUGUGUGGAACUCCGAGUGUAGAGGUGAAAUUCGUAGAUAUUCGGAAGAACACCAGUGGCGAAGGCGACACACUGGCUCAUUACUGACGCUGAGGCGCGAAAGCGUGGGGAGCAAACAGGAUUAGAAACCCGUGUAGUCC
rnacentral:rRNA from 1 species